UUGCAAAGUGGUAGGUCGGAUUUGACCAUGUUGACAACGGUCCUAUAGCUUUUGUCUUUGGUAUAGAUAGAGCUUGUUACAUUGGCGAAGUGUGCUAACCCGAAUAAUACAGUCUUUUUUACGCUCACUAUCGCUCACUACAGAAUUGGAGACGGGAAAGAACAAUAGAAAAUAAAGGGAAAUUAUCAACAAAAGAUUUACAGAAGUCAACAAAACCUAAAUGGUCAGACAUCUUGGUUUUCAUGAUCAUCAACAGGUCAAUACUGAAGAGAAAACUUAAAGUUGAGAUAUUUCUACAUUCUGUGCUUUUUUUAGUAAUGUGAAAUGGAAUGUGUUUGUUUCCUACAAAAGAAAUAGGAAAUUUCAACAAAAUGACUAUAAACAAAAAGGAGUCCUAUCAUAGAUGCACAAAAACAUAAUCGUGUAAAUGCAACAACAUAAAUAUUAAUUGAAAGAAGGAACAAAUAAAGAAAUAAUGAGUAUUUUGUUGUCCAAAUGAACAAUUGUGUUGUCCAUCAUUUAGAUCGCUUCAUCCAAUAAAGAUGUACGGAGGAAGAUCUUUGAAGAAAAAAAUGCAAAAAGUGUUUUCUCUGAGAAUUGUAGGAAUAAUUCUAGUGGAUGGAACAAUUUAUUCGAUUGACUCUUAUAUAGUGGAUUGAAAAAUUGUACACAGCAAGCUGAAACAAGAAAACUAAAACUUAACAUGA